AUUUUUAGAGCACCUUCUGCUGCCUUGGCUGCCAACCCGUUCAAAGUUUCAGUUCCUGAAAGAAUCCGCCGAUUACGGAUACCCGUGCGAACAGAAAUCCAUCCAUCUGAAGUUUCAACAAUCUGAGCAAGGUCGUCAUUAGAAAUCACAAGAUUUGGAACAGCCGAACCACAGCCAACAAACUUGGAACCCAUGCCAACAAGUCUG
rnacentral:misc_RNA from 1 species